UACGUAGGGCGCGAGCGUUGUCCGGAAUUAUUGGGCGUAAAGAGCUCGUAGGCGGUUUGUUGCGUCUAUCGUGAAAACCUGCAGCUUAACUGUGGGCUUGCGGUGGAUACGGGCAGACUUGAGUUCGGUAGGGGAGACUGGAAUUCCUGGUGUAGCGGUGAAAUGCGCAGAUAUCAGGAGGAACACCGGUGGCGAAGGCGGGUCUCUGGGCCGAUACUGACGCUGAGGAGCGAAAGCGUGGGGAGCGAACAGG
rnacentral:rRNA from 1 species